rnacentral:piRNA from 1 species
UUGCCUGGGUAUCACCAGUGGAGGCUGC